AGUGGUUUAGGCGUCUGCAUUGAGAACCGAAGGGCCCCGGUUCGAUGCUCGACGGCGGUACUAACACUGAUCGGCGUAUGUGUCCUUGGGCAAGACACUUAACGGACAUUGCUCCAACCCAGUGGUCACUUAUGGGUUGUCCAAAUUACAGUCAUACACAGGAAAAAACAAACAAUUACCCACAAAGUUGCAUAUAUGUGGUGACUCGCUGCCCAGACGAGGAUAAACCUUCUGUGGAAGUGCGUCCGGUUGUGACGUUGUUAGUACGAGUGUAGUUCUCGAAUGAUGUUCGCGAAUCGUGUGAAAAUAGUCCGCAGAUGGAGUCCUAUAUAUACGGGUCAAGAAUCGGGACAAAAAACGGAACUUGGUCGGACCGGAGAACGAGUUCGCAGAAAUAGUCUGCAGAUGGAGUCCUACGGGUCAAGAAUCGGGACAAAAAACGGGACUUGGUCAGAACGGAGAACGAGUUCGCAGAAAUAGUCUGCAGAUGGAGUCCUAUAUAUACGGGUCAAGAAUCGGGACAAAAAACGGGACUUGAUCGGAACACUGGAGUCGGAACAUGAUAACAAGAACUUCACUACCGCGAGCACGUCACUUCCGGACGUACAAGGGUGUUGGGGUAAUGGGCCAAGUCUGGCCUAAAUCCCAGGUCCUCACAGACCUCAUCCAUACAGAA